AGUAGAGUUUGCUUAUAAGACUGG
rnacentral:siRNA from 1 species